rnacentral:lncRNA from 13 species
CCUGAACUACCGGCUGAGGACAUACGAUGAUAAACAAGAGUAUAAUGUAAAACGGAAAUACAGAGACAGCAAAAGUAAACAUUUUACGAGUCAAGCGUCCUUCUGCCUGGGCUCUCGGUUGAAGACAGAAGUCCCUGGCUUUCUGUUAUCUGCUUCAAACAUCAGCAAGGUGGCAUCUGGCCGGCCUCCUUACAGAAAAUACACAGAGGUGAACGUUCCAGAAAGCAUUGAGAAAUCCUGCUCCCAGCAAGAAAAUAACAAACCGAAUGUCCGAGUCAGCAAAAAUAGAUGUCUUCUGAGUGAGGCGAACUACUCCCUGAACUGCCGGCUGAAGACCUACAAUGAUCAAAAAGAUCAUGAUGAAGAACAGAAAUGCAGAGACAGCAAAAAUAAACAUCUUAGGAGUCAAGCGGCCUACUACCUGGACUGCCGGCUGAAGACGGAAGAAAGUCAAGGUGAUGUUGAGGAAGAGGAGGAGAAAGGGCCAGUGCCUCCCAGGUAAUGCUGUGGAGCUGUGGGCUGUUAGUUCCAUAGUGACACCUGGAGACUGCAGAUCCAGGAAAAGGAGAAAAUGAUGACUAGAACUCUGCCUUCCAUUCACCCAGCUACAGAUUGUCCUCAUUGACAAUGCUGUGGGUGAUGUGUGACACUUGUAUAGGUUUUAAUUUCUUAGUCCUCCCAAGAUAGGGACCUGCAAUCUGCUGAGCCAGGUGAACUCAGCAAACAGGGAUUUUUUUGGUUUCCCCUGUUCUCUCCCAUGGGUUUAAUUCCAGGGAGAGACGCGGAUAUGCUUUCUACCCAUUUGUUGUUAGCAUGUUUGCUAGGAUUUGUGAAGAGAAGAAAUUCAAAAAAUAUACAUAUGCUAUCAAAAUACUGGAAAAGGGAGGCCCUUAGUACAGAAGAUCUGGGUGUCUGAAAUGCCUCAGGAGCUCUGUUCACUUGAAUGCUGCAUGUAAAAUUCAACACAACUUACGCGAGGUAG